UACGUAGGGGGCUAGCGUUGUCCGGAAUCAUUGGGCGUAAAGCGCGUUUAGGCGGUCCGGUAAGUCCGCUGUGAAAGUCGGGGGCUCAACCCUCGAAUGCCGGUGGAUACUGUCGGGCUAGAGUGCGGAAGAGGCGAGUGGAAUUCCUGGUGUAGCGGUGAAAUGCGCAGAUAUCAGGAGGAACACCAAUUGCGAAGGCAGCUCGCUGGGACGUAACUGACGCUGAGACGCGAAAGCGUGGGGAGCAAACAGG
rnacentral:rRNA from 1 species